rnacentral:rRNA from 1 species
AGUUUGAUCCUGGCUCAGGACGAACGCUGGCGGCGUGCUUAACACAUGCAAGUCGAACGGAAAGGCCCUUCGGGGUACUCGAGUGGCGAACGGGUGAGUAACACGUGGGUGAUCUGCCCUGCACUUUGGGAUAAGCCUGGGAAACUGGGUCUAAUACCGAAUAGGACCGCGCGCUUCAUGGUGUGUGGUGGAAAGCUUUUGCGGUGUGGGAUGGGCCCGCGGCCUAUCAGCUUGUUGGUGGGGUAAUGGCCUACCAAGGCGACGACGGGUAGCCGGCCUGAGAGGGUGACCGGCCACACUGGGACUGAGAUACGGCCCAGACUCCUACGGGAGGCAGCAGUGGGGAAUAUUGCACAAUGGGCGCAAGCCUGAUGCAGCGACGCCGCGUGAGGGAUGACGGCCUUCGGGUUGUAAACCUCUUUCACCAGGGACGAAGCGCAAGUGACGGUACCUGGAGAAGAAGCACCGGCCAACUACGUGCCAGCAGCCGCGGUAAUACGUAGGGUGCGAGCGUUGUCCGGAAUUACUGGGCGUAAAGAGCUCGUAGGUGGUUUGUCGCGUUGUUCGUGAAAACUCACAGCUUAACUGUGGGCGUGCGGGCGAUACGGGCAGACUAGAGUACUGCAGGGGAGACUGGAAUUCCUGGUGUAGCGGUGGAAUGCGCAGAUAUCAGGAGGAACACCGGUGGCGAAGGCGGGUCUCUGGGCAGUAACUGACGCUGAGGAGCGAAAGCGUGGGGAGCGAACAGGAUUAGAUACCCUGGUAGUCC